GAAUCUAGAGCAACUGCACACUAAAAGAAAAAACAUUUCGCUGAAAUAGCAAGAAAAAAAAAAGGGGGGAAAGAAAGGCAGCCAGUACUCUCGCAUAGUCUGGCGAAAAAAUAUGUAAAUAAAAUUCAGCUCGACAAUGGCGAUCGCGAAGCAAAACGACCAGACGAAAAUUUCGACAUAGCCGCGACGCUGUUUGUUUUUCUUUUUAAAAUUUUCUCAUUUCCCAAAUAUGAGUGACUGAAAAAAGCAAGGAAAAAAGCAAAGAACAGUGGUUAAUCCUUGAAAAGCAACCGAAUGUGUUUUAAAUUUUAUUAAAUUAUGGAUAUUCCUGAUCAAGUCGUGUUCUUUUAAGUAACAAAAACAAGGUUAAAAAUGGUGGAUGGAAUAUAAAAUAAAAAUAUAACAAAAUAAACAAAAAAAAAAAGAAGAAACAAAAAAAAAACGAUUGUAGUUUUUUCUUGUGUUGGUGUUGUGUUGUGAAGAAGAAGAAGAAGAGAACGACAUUUCGAUGAUAGCCGAAUUUCGAGUGCAACAUAAAAGCUAUAGAACCGGAAGUAGACGAGGAGCCAUUGAAAUGUGAAAUUCGCUAAGAAAUCGACAGAGAAAAACGCACACGUCAAUGUAACCACAAAACUGCCCCAAAAAAAAGAAACAAAAAUAACAAAAACCAUAAAAACUUUAA